rnacentral:lncRNA from 1 species
GGCAGAAUACACUGAAAUACAAUGAAAAAAAGUAAGUGAACACAAUAAAAUACGUGAAAUACAGCGAGAUACAUUGAAUUACAAUGAAAAAAAAGACAAUGAAUAUAAUGAAAUACAUAAACAUACAGCGUAAAAACCAAGAACCAGCAACUCUUUACAUCUCAAAAACCAUAAACCAAGCAGAUCUUCGUCGCUCAUAUUGUCUUCCUCUGGCUCAAAAUUCACUAUCUCCGAGUUUUAAUUUUGACUCUGAUUCUUCGUAUAUUUACUAAAAAAUAAUGAAGAUCAAUCUUCAUAUGGCUCGAAAUCUACUGCAUCC